rnacentral:rRNA from 1 species
UUAAAGUCGGACCUGCCCACUGAAUUAUUAAAGGGCCGCAGUAUUUUGACUGUGCAAAGGUAGCAUAAUCCUUAGUUUUUUAAUUGAAAGCUUGUAUGAAUGGUUUGAUGAGAAAAUAACUUUCUAUAUUUAAAUUUUUAAAAAUUUUAUUUUUAAGUUAAAAAGCUUAAAUUUUUUUAAUAGACGAGAAGACCCUAUAGAGUUUUAUUAUAUUAAUUUUUUAAAUUUUUAGAAUUUAAAAAUUUUAAUUUUUAAUAUAAUUUGGUUGGGGUGACUGAAAAAUUAAAUAAACUUUUUUUAUAUUAUU